rnacentral:rRNA from 1 species
GACGAACGCUGGCGGCGUGCCUAAUACAUGCAAGUCGAACGAACCGCGACUAGGUGCUUGCACUUGGUCAAGGUGAGUGGCGAACGGGUGAGUAACACGUGGGUAACCUACCUCAUAGUGGGGGAUAACAGUCGGAAACGACUGCUAAUACCGCAUAGGACAUGGGAUCACAUGAUUCUGUGAGGAAAGGUGGCGCAAGCUAUCGCUAAGAGAUGGACCCGCGGUGCAUUAGCUAGUUGGUAGGGUAACGGCCUACCAAGGCGAUGAUGCAUAGCCGACCUGAGAGGGUGAUCGGCCACAUUGGGACUGAGACACGGCCCAAACUCCUACGGGAGGCAGCAGUAGGGAAUCUUCCGCAAUGGACGCAAGUCUGACGGAGCAACGCCGCGUGAGUGAAGAAGGUCUUCGGAUCGUAAAGCUCUGUUGUUAGAGAAGAACAGCGCAUAGAGUAACUGUUAUGCGUGUGACGGUAUCUAACCAGAAAGCCAUGGCUAACUACGUG